rnacentral:rRNA from 1 species
GAUGAACGCUGGCGGCGUGCCUAAUACAUGCAAGUCGAGCGAACAGACGAGGAGCUUGCUCCUCUGACGUUAGCGGCGGACGGGUGAGUAGCACGUGGAUAACCUACCUAUAAGACUGGGAUAACUUCGGGAAACCGGAGCUAAUACCGGAUAAUAUAUUGAACCGCAUGGUUCAAUAGUGAAGGACGGUUUUGCUGUCACUUAUAGAUGGAUCCGCGCCGCAUUAGCUAGUUGGUAAGGUAACGGCUUACCAAGGCAACGAUGCGUAGCCGACCUGAGAGGGUGAUCGGCCACACUGGAACUGAGACACGGUCCAGACUCCUACGGGAGGCAGCAGUAGGGAAUCUUCCGCAAUGGGCGAAAGCCUGACGGAGCAACGCCGCGUGAGUGAUGAAGGUCUUCGGAUCGUAAAACUCUGUUAUUAGGGAAGAACAAAUGUGUAAGUAACUAUGCACGUCUUGACGGUACCUAAUCAGAAAGCCACGGCUAACUACGUG